CGUAGAUAUUCGGAGGAACACCAGUGGCGAAGGCGGCCUACUGGGCUUUAACUGACGCUGAGGCUCGAAAGUGUGGGGAGCAAACAGGAUUAGAUACCCUGGUAGUCCACACUGUAAACGAUGAUUGCUAGGUGUGGGGGUCUGACCCUUCCGUGCCGGAGUUAACGCAAUAAGCAAUCCACCUGGGGAGGUACGGCCGCAAGGUUGAAACUCAAAGGAAUUGACGGGGCCCGCACAAGCAGUGGAUUAUGUGGUUUAAUUCGAAGCAACGCGAAGAACCUUACCAGGUCUUGACAUGUCGCGAAUCCAGUGGAAACACAGGAGUGCCU
rnacentral:rRNA from 1 species